GAGCAAAUAGAACUACAAUAAAAUAAAAUGAAGUCAAACAAGGCAUGAAAUCACGAAUCAUCAGCUCCUUGAUUUGUUCCAAGAAACUGAACGCAAAAGAUAAUAGCAAAAGCAGGCAUCAAAACUGAAUCAAGUCUACGUCAUCCAUAACUUGGAAAGCAUAGCACACACAUCUUAUGAAUCAAGACACUGCAACAUCUCUAUUCAGCUGCAGCUGCAACCUCAACCCAUGAAAUCACGAAUCAUCAGCUCCUUGAUUUGCUCCAAGAAACUGAACGCAAAAGAUAAUAGCAAAAGCAGGCAUCAAAACUGAAUCAAGUCUACGUCGUCCAUAACUUGGAAAGCAUAGCACACACAUCUUAUGAAUCAAGACACUGAACAUCUCUAUUCAGCUGGAGCUGCAACCUCAACCCCUGCCUCAUCUGCCUCAGCUGGCCUCUCCAACUUC
rnacentral:lncRNA from 1 species